AACGCACAUUGCGCCCCGUGGUAUUCCGCGGGGCAUGCCUGUUCGAGCGUCAUUUCAACCAAUCCAGCGUGCUGGGUCUUGGGCUUCGCCUCCGGGCGGGCCUUAAAAUCAGUGGCGGCGCCACCCGGCUCUAAGCGUAGUAAUUCUUCUCGCUACAGGGUCCCGGGUGGAGGCUGGCCAGCAACCCCUAAAUUUUCAAAGGUUGACCUCGGAUCAGGUAGGGAUACCCGCUGAACUUAA
rnacentral:misc_RNA from 1 species